rnacentral:rRNA from 1 species
UGGCGAACGGGUGAGUAACACGUGGGCAAUCUGCCCUGCACUCUGGGACAAGCCCUGGAAACGGGGUCUAAUACCGGAUGAUACUUCUGCCUGCAUGGGUGGGGGUUGAAAGCUCCGGCGGUGCAGGAUGAGCCCGCGGCCUAUCAGCUUGUUGGUGAGGUAGUGGCUCACCAAGGCGACGACGGGUAGCCGGCCUGAGAGGGCGACCGGCCACACUGGGACUGAGACACGGCCCAGACUCCUACGGGAGGCAGCAGUGGGGAAUAUUGCACAAUGGGCGGAAGCCUGAUGCAGCGACGCCGCGUGAGGGAUGACGGCCUUCGGGUUGUAAACCUCUUUCAGCAGGGAAGAAGCGCAAGUGACGGUACCUGCAGAAGAAGCGCCGGCUAACUACGUGCCAGCAGCCGCGGUAAUACGUAGGGCGCAAGCGUUGUCCGGAAUUAUUGGGCGUAAAGAGCUCGUAGGCGGUCUGUCGCGUCGGAUGUGAAAGCCCGGGGCUUAACCCCGGGUCUGCAUUCGAUACGGGCAGACUAGAGUGUGGUAGGGGAGAUCGGAAUUCCUGGUGUAGCGGUGAAAUGCGCAGAUAUCAGGAGGAACACCGGUGGCGAAGGCGGAUCUCUGGGCCAUUACUGACGCUGAGG